rnacentral:ncRNA from 1 species
AAAUUGCCUCAGGUGCCUCUUGUCUUGGAGGGGAGAAUAGGAAAGCCGGGUGAGAUGCCCGCACGGUCACGCCGCUGUAAUGAGCCGCGCCGUUUUACAAGUCACUGCGAAAGCGGGAAGACAAAACGGUGUGUGAUGGCUCAAAGUCAGAAGACCUGCCUGACGCU